CUUCCAUCUUCCGCAAAUAAGGUCAGUCCGAAAGACAAAAGACAUCAACUGCCAGUUCUGCGAUCUUGUCUACCUUCUCCUUGAAUUCAUCCUCAUUAAUACCGAAGUCUUUCAACGUCUUAGGAAUGUUAAGUCUUACAUUGAAAUCAUCAAUCUUCUCAAUAAGACUGUUGAUCAGUGCCUUCUCAGAUGUUCCCGGAAGACCCAUUCUGCGGGCGAUCUCAGCAUAACGCUUUGCAGCUACAGGAUCUUUUGCGUUAUAUUGGAUAACAUACGGCAGAUAAAUUGCAUUUGCACAACCAUGCGGAAUAUGACCUGUUGAGAAAGCUGCACCUGUCUUAUGAGCCAUGGAGUGGACGAUUCCAAGCAAUGCAUUGGAGAAUGCCAUUCCUGCCAGACACUGUGCAUAGUGCAUCUGCUCUCUUGCAACCAUAUCGCAAUGAUAAGAUGCCGGCAGAUAAUCAAGAACCAUCUCGAUUGCCUGUAAUGCAAGCGGAUCCAAAGCCGGCGAACUUCGGGGUCUGGUAAGCAAUGGUGUUGUCCAUCACGCCGACAGUGGCCGCAAACACGUUCGUAGCGUUCACGACAUUGGCGGAACCAUACGAAGUGCCAAAGGCGCUGACGGCACCAACCUUACCCCAGGAAGACGUGCCCUGAGUGAUUGCACCGAUCUUGCCGAGACUCAGCUGACCAAAGGGCCCCAUGACAUUGAGUGAAGCUUCACGAUUGAACAUCGUGCCGGAAACACCCUGCGUGCCGUCGUCAGCGUUGAAACCGCUUUCGAGGAUGAAGCCAACCUUGAGGCCGUUGCCCAGGUCUUCAGUGCCCUUCAGACCCCAGCGGGAGCCGGCCUGAAUACCACUUUUCAGUUCGAGUUUGUCAACGGCAUCAAUACCGGUUUUGUCCGCAUCUUUAUGCGUAUAAAGGAAACCUUCGUCGACAACGCCGUAAAGGGUCACAUCGGCAGCGAAAGCAGAGCCGGCAAAGGCGCCAAGAAGGGCGACCGCGGCAAGAGACUUCUUAAACAUAAUUUUCAGAGCCUUUUUUUACGUGAAGAGAUCUGAGAUCUCAAAAGUCAUCACUAUCGGUUUGCACGCACCGAGAGUGACAACGUUCCGUCGAUUGAUGAUUUUUUGCACGGCAUCAAUCACUGGUUCAGCGGCCUGAAAUUUGGACGGCAAGCCGCUCAGCCAUUAACGGAUGGGAUAUUUGUAGCCGCAGUCAGCAUCAGACUGCUUAAGGAAUAACCCGCAUUUCUAAUAAAUUCAUUUAAAAACAGAUAUUUCAUAUUUUUUUAGGGAGGCGUGAACGCAUUUGUUGCGCAUUUGACACAUAUAUGAAAUGCGCGAAUGGGAAGCAUGUUCAUUUAAUGCAAAUUGCAGAAUCUGCGUUAGCCGCCCAGUCAAAACGCGAAAGCCCCCCAGCCCGAAAGCUGAGAGGCUCUCACUAAUUCAUCAGCAGAGAAGUUUUUAGGACUUCAUCCGCGCAAAUUAGAACGUGUGUAGGAUAGGCCGGAGGCAAAGAAGAGGGCACGCCAGUGUUCUUGGAGCCGCCGUUGAAAUACGGCCCUUCCUCUGUUUGGUCCCUAACUCGCGAUGCGAGGACCGCGUUUGGCGGGCAGUUUGACUGGGGUGGUCGCCUCCAAAAGCGUAACGGAGGCUUCUAAAGGUGCCCUCAGACCGAUUGGUAACCGGUCGCAGAGUGUAAUGGCAUAAGGGCGCUUGACUGGGAGAGAUACAACUCGAUCAGGUAGGAAACUAGAGCAUAGUGAUCCGGUGGUUCCGCAUGGAAGGGCCAUCGCUCAAAGGAUAAAAGGUACUCCGGGGAUAACAGGCUGAUCGCUCCCAAGAGCUCAUAUCGACGGAGCGGUUUGGCACCUCGAUGUCGGCUCGUCACAUCCUGGGGCUGGAGAAGGUCCCAAGGGUUGGGCUGUUCGCCCAUUAAAGUGGCACGCGAGCUGGGUUCAGAACGUCGUGAGACAGUUCGGUCUCUAUCUAUCGUGGGCGUAGGAUAUUUGAGGGGCUCUGACACUAGUACGAGAGGACCGUGUUGGACAGACCACUGGUUUACCGGUUGUACCGCCAGGUGCACCGCCGGGUAUCUAAGUCUGGAUUGGAUAAGUGCUGAAAGCAUCUAAGUACGAAGCCAGCCUCAAGAUGAGAUAUCCCUAGAGGGUCGUUGUAGACUACGACGUAGAUAGGCUACAGGUGUAAGGGCAGCAAUGUCGAAGCCGAGUAGUACUAAUAGCCCGAGACUUUCGAUC
rnacentral:rRNA from 1 species